rnacentral:rRNA from 1 species
UACGUAGGGUGCAAGCGUUGUCCGGAAUUAUUGGGCGUAAAGAGCUCGUAGGCGGUCUGUCGCGUCUGCUGUGAAAACUCAGGGCUUAACCCUGAGCUUGCAGUGGGUACGGGCAGACUAGAGUGCGGUAGGGGAGACUGGAAUUCCUGGUGUAGCGGUGAAAUGCGCAGAUAUCAGGAGGAACACCGGUGGCGAAGGCGGGUCUCUGGGCAGUGAACUGACGC